GAAAUACAACAAAGCAUUCUAAAUUGUAUCAGAAGGGUUUCCUAUAUUCAGUUACAGUAGUUACAAUUCAUGUUUUUUUUUUCCUCAUAGGGUAUGAGUAUCCGCAUGACAUUAGAAUGAUAAAUAUUCAAAGGAACUUCAGUUCACAGGACUUAAGAAAUUUUACAGCUUUCCUUCCCUACCUGGGGUAAUCAUGAAAUAUCUAAACGCUCAUGUACAUGGGAAAUUCAUCUUGAAACUCAGAAGCUCAGCAAGCAGCCAGCAGCAAAAAAUUGAGUCUGUCAUCUUCCUUCAGAUAUGAAGGAAAAAAACUUUUAAGAAACAAAGAACUUCUAUAACAUCGCAGUUGAACAGGGGCUCUGUGCCCCACCAGGACCAAGUAUGCACCACCCCACCAUUUAAAAAGGGAAGAAAACUGUUUGGAAGAGAAUUCAGUUCCAUUUGUCAGGAUGGCAUCCUGCCCGCAG
rnacentral:lncRNA from 14 species